rnacentral:rRNA from 1 species
GACGAACGCUGGCGGCGUGCCUAAUACAUGCAAGUCGAGCGGAAGUUGAAGAGCUUGCUCUUCAACUUUAGCGGCGGACGGGUGAGUAACACGUGGGCAACCUGCCCUGCAGAUCGGGAUAACUCCGGGAAACCGGUGCUAAUACCGAAUAGUUUUCGCCACCUCCUGGUGGCGUACGGAAAGACGGUUUCGGCUGUCACUGCAGGAUGGGCCCGCGGCGCAUUAGCUAGUUGGUGGGGUAACGGCCCACCAAGGCAACGAUGCGUAGCCGACCUGAGAGGGUGAUCGGCCACACUGGGACUGAGACACGGCCCAGACUCCUACGGGAGGCAGCAGUAGGGAAUCUUCCGCAAUGGACGAAAGUCUGACGGAGCAACGCCGCGUGAGUGACGAAGGUUUUCGGAUCGUAAGACUCUGUUGUGAGGGAAGAACAAGUACCACUUAACCACUGGUACCUUGACGGUACCUCACCAGAAAGCCACGGCUAACUACGUGCCAGCCGCCGCGGUAAAAC